AUUGAACGCUGGCGGCAGGCCUAACACAUGCAAGUCGAGCGGAUGAAGGGAGCUUGCUCCUGGAUUCAGCGGCGGACGGGUGAGUAAUGCCUAGGAAUCUGCCUGGUAGUGGGGGAUAACGUCCGGAAACGGGCGCUAAUACCGCAUACGUCCUGAGGGAGAAAGUGGGGGAUCUUCGGACCUCACGCUAUCAGAUGAGCCUAGGUCGGAUUAGCUAGUUGGUGGGGUAAAGGCCUACCAAGGCGACGAUCCGUAACUGGUCUUAGUGGAUGAUCAGUCACACUGGAACUGAGACACGGUCCAGACUCCUAAGGGAGGCAGCAGUGGGGAAUAUUGGACAAUGGGCGAAAGCCUGAUCCAGCCAUGCCGCGUGUGUGAAGAAGGUCUUCGGAUUGUAAAGCACUUUAAGUUGGGAGGAAGGGCAGUAAGUUAAUACCUUGCUGUUUUGACGUUACCAACAGAAUAAGCACCGGCUAACUUCGUG
rnacentral:rRNA from 1 species